rnacentral:rRNA from 1 species
ACGGGAGGCAGCAGUGGGGAAUCUUGCCCAAUGGGCGAAAGCCUGAGGCAGCGACGCCGCGUGAGGGAGGAAGGCCUUCGGGUUGUAAACCUCUUUCAGGAGGGACGAAGCUACUCGGGUGAAUAGCCCAGAGGGUGACGGUACCUCCAGAAGAAGCCCCGGCUAACUACGUGCCAGCAGCCGCGGUAAUACGUAGGGGGCAAGCGUUGUCCGGAUUUACUGGGCGUAAAGCGCGUGUAGGCGGCCACGCAGGUCCGUUGUGAAAACUGGAGGCUUAACCUCCAGACGUCGACGGAAACCGUGUGGCUAGAGUCCGGAAGAGGAGAGUGGAAUUCCUGGUGUAGCGGUGAAAUGCGCAGAUAUCAGGAAGAACACCAAUGGCGAAGGCAGCUCUCUGGGACGGUACUGACGCUGAGACGCGAAAGCGUGGGGAGCGAACAGGAUUAGAUACCCUGGUA